GGAGAGGUCGCAUAGUGGUCGAGUGCACCGCCUUGGAAAGGCGGCAUACCGAAAGGUAUCGAGGGUUCGAAUCCCUCCCUCUCCGCCA
rnacentral:tRNA from 1 species